rnacentral:rRNA from 1 species
AACGAGCGCAACCCUUGCCUUUAGUUGCCAGCAGUUCGGGCUGGGCACUCUAAAGGGACGUGCCGGUGUUAAACCGGAGGAAGGUGGGGGAUGACGUCAAGUCCUCAUGGCCUUUAUGACCAGGGCUACACACGUACUACAAUGGCCGAUACAAAGGGCAGCGACACUGCGAAGUGAAGCCAAUCCCGUAAAAUCGGUCUCAGUCCGGAUUGGAGUCUGCAACUCGACUCCAUGAAGUUGGAAUCGCUAGUAAUCGCGCAUCAGCAUGGCGCGGUGAAUACGUUCCCGGGCCUU